rnacentral:rRNA from 1 species
GAUGAACGCUGGCGGCGUGCCUAAUACAUGCAAGUCGAGCGAAUGGAUUAAGAGCUUGCUCUUAUGAAGUUAGCGGCGGACGGGUGAGUAACACGUGGGUAACCUGCCCAUAAGACUGGGAUAACUCCGGGAAACCGGGGCUAAUACCGGAUAAUAUUUUGAACUGCAUGGUUCAAAAUUGAAAGGCGGCUACGGCUGUCACUUAUGGAUGGACCCGAGUCGCAUUAGCUAGUUGGUGAGGUAACGGCUCACCAAGGCAACGAUGCGUAGCCGACCUGAGAGUGUGAUCGGCCACACUGGGACUGAGACACGGCCCAGACUCCUACGGGAGGAAGCAGUAGGGAAUCUUACGCAAUGGACGAAAGUCUGACGGAGCAACGCCGCGUGAGUGAUGAAGGCUUUCGGGUCGUAAAACUCUGUUGUUAGGGAAGAACAAGUGCUAGUUGAAUAAGCUGGCACCUUGACGGUACCUAACCAGAAAGCCACGGCUAACUACGUGCCAGCAGCCGCGGUAA